GAAAUGCGAUAAGUAAUGUGAAUUGCAGAAUUCAGUGAAUCAUCGAAUCUUUGAACGCACAUUGCGCCCUCUGGCAUUCCGGGGGGCACGCCUGUCCGAGCGUCAUCGCACCUCUCGAGCCCGGCUCGGUGUUGGGCGCCGCCCCCGGGCGGGCCCGAAAGUCAGCGGCGGAGCGUCCGAAACCCCAGCGUGGCAAGUCUAGCGCUCGGUGGUUCGGGGCUCCCGCCACCACACACACACAUCAGGUUGACCUCGGAUCAGGUGGGGAUACCCGCUGAACUUAA
rnacentral:misc_RNA from 1 species